CCACCAACUGAAUUGUGACUAAGGAUUUGAAUCUGGGGCGCCCAUGAUGGAAUGACCAAACCUUUGCCUCUGGUUCUCUCCAAAAACCCAGAAGGUAAAAAUUCCAAAGGGUCAACAUCAUUUUGUGUUGAAAGAUAUGUAGCAUUGGCUGAACUAUUUGGUGCUCUUACAACCCAUAAGAAUUUAUGAUUACUCAACUCCAAACCAAAAGCCAGCUCAACAAUUUGUUCCUGUGAAAGUGUACCCCCACUCCCAAAAGACACAUACAAAACUGAACAAGAUUGUUGUUUGUCCAACCAUGACAGACACUCCAACCCAUUAGCAUCAACAGAACUUGUUACUGUCUGGAUGAUAGGUCCAACAGGAUAAACAGAAGGGAUACCCUUGACACUUCCUUCCUCAUUUAGUGCUUUUAUAGGACCACUUUCCAUUUCUAAGAAGCUAUUAACAAUAAUACCAUCAGCAAUUCUUAAAGACUUGAGAAGUUGGAGGAAUUGUUUGUACUCUUGACUUGAUCUAUCUUGAACAUUGGUAAAGAGAUCUCUCCCGUGGAUUGGAACACAACCUGGUAAUUUGAUAGGCUUUGGUAGAUCUUUGUACUCACAUGAUGUUUCCUCAUCCAACUUAGGCAUAUAGAAGCAGAAAGAAAUUGUAGUAGCUGAUAAAGGGAGGUAUAUGUAGGACAACAUGUUGAAUUCCUUAGAAAAUUCUAGUGCUUUAAGUGCUAAAGGAUCAACCACCAAGGCCACAAGGGGAGUCCUUAAAGUUAAGGAGUUCAAGGCCUGAUGUAAAUAUGGGAGAGAGUGAAUCAGUGUGAGGUGAAUGCUUUCCAUGGGAGGAGUUCCUUGUGGUAGGUCAUUGGGGUUCAUAGGUGGAAGAAAAGUGUAGUUGAUGUUUGAUGGAAGAGUUUCAAGGAUUGAUUUUGAGGCACUUGAGGGAGAGCCAAGUGUUGGAAUGAAGCAUGUGACAUGAAAGUCAGGAUGGAGUUGAACAAGUUGCUUGGAAAAGUGAAGAAUAGGGACUAAAUGGCUAUACCCAACACCUGGAACAACUGCUAUGUGAACUGUUUUAUCCAUUGAAAUUUGUUGCUAUAUUUCCAGCUUAUGAGGCAAAGUAUUUUUUGUGUGGCUUGUUAAAUGGAUAACAGAACUCACCUACCUACCUUGCUAAAUAUGUGCUAAAAUAGCAAUUAUACAUAUGAUGAUUGGGAAGUUUGAAAACGAUGAAUAAGAGCCACUCAUGUUGGUAUGAUGGGGUAAUACGAAAGUAGUAUAGUACCUCAUACAAAUAUUAAGAAAAUAGUGGUCCAAUAAGGAUAGAAAGUCUUAAAGCGAGACUUUUUGUUUUAAAAAUAAUAAUAUUUUAUCAAAAUUAUGGUGACUAUGGUAGCUUUUGUUUUAGGAAAAUUCUUUGAUAGGUGGUUCAACAUUUUUUUAUUGUUUUAGUUUGAAAUUUUGACAUCAUUAAUUGCCAUUUUGUUUUGGCAUUCUUGUAAAAUUAUGGUGACUUUGGUAGCUUUUGCUUUAUGGUGGUUCAACAUUUUUUAUUGUUUUAGUUUGAAAUUUUGACAUCUUUGGCCUUUUGUUNNNNNNNNNNNNNNNNNNNNNNNNNNNNNNNNNNNNNNNNNNNNNNNNNNNNNNNNNNNNNNNNNNNNNNNNNNNNNNNNNNNNNNNNNNNNNNNNNNNNNNNNNNNNNNNNNNNNNNNNNNNNNNNNNNNNNNNNNNNNNNNNNNNNNNNNNNNNUAUUUUUAUAGUAAAAUAUCUUAGUUACGAGAUAGUGUUAUCUAGGCACAAGUACUUGAACACAAAAUUUUGGCGCACACACUCACAAAUCAAAAAAAUUAAAAAUAAAAUAAAAUAGUCACAUCAAUUAAUUUUUCUUUAUUCAUUUUCUAUUUAAUUUUUUUAGUUUAAUGUGAGUGUCCUAAAAAUAUGCCCAUAUAAGUAUUCCUCCUUAGUUACUAUAUUAGAGUAUUUAUUUUAAUUAUUUCUUAGAUUAUAAGAUUAUAAUCUUAGAACAUCUUAGUCGUCCAGAAGCUUGUAAUUAUGUACAUAGAUUUUUUGUUUUGUUUGACGAGAAACAUGUAUCAUGACAUUACAGUAUCUUGUGUUAUCUUAUAGAAAGAAAGAUAUGUUUUUGUUUGAUAGUGAGGUUAGGAGAGUAGGAGAGAUCACGUAUAGGAUGCAAAAAGCUAAACCCACACAGCUAAAUGACUGGGAUUUGGAUCUUGUUUUUAUGUUCUAAUUCCCAAAUCGGAUUUAUGUGAUUUUUUUUUAAAUAACCUCGACAUAAAAAAACACUUUUUUUUUUGGCUCCUAAGAAGAUCAGCCAUGCCUUCAGGUGGAGUAACAUGAAUUGAAUGAUAAACAUUUGAUGACGCUUCAAGUUUGGCUAAAAAAUCAGCGCAUUGUUUACCUUCUCUGAGGGUGUGGCUAAGAGUAAGAUUACUUUGGGAAAACAAAUCCUUUAUAUCUUACAUCAACACACAUAGACAUGAACUUGACGGGGGGGACCUUGAAUAGGGUUGAUAUAGAGUAAUGAAUAUGAGUAGCAAACGAGCUCAUCAAUUGCCAAGUCUUUUCCUACACCAACUUUCUCCACUUGAGUGCUAAUUGAGAGAUAGCAUCUUUCUAGAAGAUCCAUCUUCUUUGAUUGCAUUCGAAGCAUCUUCUUUUAACUCCUUCAUAUUAUUGCACAAUUUCUCGCCUUCUUCUCCUUCAAUGAGAUACUUGAUCACCUUAGCAACCUCCACGUUUUCCACAAUGUCAUUUUCAUUAACUCUUGUCCUCAGUCCAACUUUCAAGACUUCACUCAGCAAAACCGCAUUCAUUUUCUGCUCAGCAAACAGAGGCCAUGUAUAUCAUGACACGACAAUAUCCAACAAAAUUAAGAAACAUAUAUGUCUUACUGAGAAACAUAUAUGUUUGUUUGAUAGUGAGGUUAGGAGAGUAGGAGAGAUCACGUGCAGGAUGCAAAGGGCUAAGCUACCACCCUAUCCAUUCCACACCAUGAGCAGUUGUAAUUAUCCAAAUCGGAUUUCUGCUAUCACUUUUCUAUUUUGAUAUUAGAUGUUAUAGAUUUCAAAUUUUUAAAAUAAAAAUGUUUAAUUUAAAAUUUAGAUAGUUCGAUCUAAAUUUAAUGAUCACUGUAGUUCUAAAUCCGUGAAUGCAGAAGAGAAAAAAAAAUAAAAAAUAAAUGUGAGGACUUGGACAUCAUGGUCCAUGUUUUAUAGGACUAAGAAAAUACUUCAUAUGUUCUAUAAUAAGUGAGGAAAUUAAUGGUGAUCUUAUUUCUUUGAUUCCUUAAAAGAUGCUGUAAUUUGUGUGAAAGAUUUUCCACCUAGGUAUCUUUGAAUUAACUUAUUUGAGCUCAUUUACUUGUAUAACUUUUGGGAGUCUGUUUGGGAGAAUUCGUUUAUAAGUUGUUUUUAGCUAAUUUUUUGUUCUUCAAGUAAUUGAAUAGGAUAUAGGGGCUGUUUCAUUGUUUCUAGUUUCUAGUACUCAAAAUGAUAAAUUAUCACAGUAUCAAAAAAAGAACCUCAAUUAAUUGAAGCAAAUUUCAGUUAAAGAAAAUUAACCUCUAGUGACACACUGUGGCAGACCACAACAAGCUGUUACAACACAUGACCAAUUAUUUCCGUCCAUUAUUACUUGUUAUCCAGCUUCCAUUGUUAACUUUGUAGUUUUUACUACUCUCGUUCAUCUAUUAUUGAUAUAACUUGUCAUGUCUAUCUUGAUAUGUGUAUUAGCAGGUUCUUAGUAGACAUGGAAAUAUAAUCAAGACAAUGGUCGGUGGCUAUAUCAUUGUACAGGGAAGGGCUGAUGACACCAUGAAUCUUGAUGGAAUAAAGGUAUCACUCUUUUAGGGAGAAUGCAGAAUAAGAAAACUACUAGGAACUUCAUUCUUUAAUUCAUGACCAGCGACCUACUUUUAAAUGGCGCAACAGAAUUUAAGAAGUGAGUAUACCGUGUCACCAUAUAUUCUAUUGUUUAUGAAAAAUGAUUAUACAAUUGAACAACACAAACCAACUCUCACUUAGGCCUAAGGUCUCUGACUAUUAGUUUCAUUGAUGUGGACUCAAUUAUGGGCGAUGUAGAUGCAUUUAAGAUUGACAGCAGCACAACUAAAGAGGAAGAGCAACAACAUAGACUAAGGAUUUUUAAGUUUUCCUACACCAAAUUUCUCCACUUAAGUGCUAAUUGAGAAAUAGUCUUUGUAGAAGACCCAUCUUCUUUGACUGCAUUAGAAGCAGCUUCUUUUAACUCCUUCAUAUUAUUGCGCAAUUUCUCACCUUCUUCUCCUUCCAUGAGACACUUGAUCACCUUAGCAACCUCUACCCUUUCUACAAUGUCAUUUUCAUUAAAUUUUGUCCUCAUUCCCACUUUCAAACCUUCACUCAGCAAAACCGCAUUCAUUUUCUGCUCAGCAAACAAGGGCCAUGUGAUUAGUGGUACACCAUGCAUCACACUCUCGAGGGUUGAAUUCCAACCACAAUGAGUUAAGAACCCACCAACUGAAUUGUGACUAAGGAUUUGAAUCUGGGGUGCCCAUGAUGGAAUCACCAAACCUUUCUCCUUGGUUCUCUCCAAAAACCCAGAAGGUAAAAAUUGCAAAGGGUCAACAUCAUUUUGUGCUGAAAGAUAUUCAGCAUUGGCUGAACUACUUGGUGCUCUUACUACCCACAAGAAUUUANNNNNNNNNAAUCCUAAAGCCAACUCAACAAUUUGUUCUUGUGAAAGUGUACCCCCACUCCCAAAAGACACAUACAAAACUGAACAAGAUUGUUGUUUGUCCAACCAUGACAGACACUGCAACCCAUUAGCAUCAAUAGAACUUGUUGCUGUCUGGAUGAUGGGUCCAACAGGAUAAACAGAAGNNNNNNNNNNNNNNNNNNNNNNNNNNNNNNNNNNNNNNNNNNNNNNNNNNNNNNNNNNNNNNNNNNNNNNNNNNNNNNNNNNNNNNNNNNNNNNNNNNNNNNNNNNNNNNNNNNNNNNNNNNNNNNNNNNNNNNNNNNNNNNNNNNNNNNNNNNNNNNAUGUUGAAUUCCUUAGCAAACUCUAGUGCUUUAAGAGCUAAAGGAUCAACCACCAAGGCCACAAGGGGAGUCCUUAAAGUUAAGGAGUUCAACGCCUGAUGUAAAUAUGGGAGAGAGUGAAUCAUUGUGAGGUGAAUGCUUUCCAUGGGAGUCCCUUGUGGUAGGUCAUUGGGGUUCACAGGUGGAAGAAAAGUGUAGUUGAUAUUUGAUGGAAGAGUUUCAAGGAUGGAUUUUGAGGCAUUUGAGGGAGACCCAAGUGUGGGAAUGAAACAUGUGACAUGAAAGUCUGGAUGGAGUUGAACAAGUUGCUUGGAAAACUGAAGAAUAGGUACUAAAUGGCUAUACCCAACACCUGGAACAACUGCAAUGUGAACUGUUUUAUCCAUGGAAAUUUGUUGCUAUGUUUCCAGCUUAUGAAGCAAAGUAUUUUUUGUGUGGCUUGUUAAAGGAAAAUAAAUAUACGCAUUUGAUGAUUGGGAACUUUUGAUAACGAUGAAUAAGAGCCACACAUGUUGGUAUGAUGGGGGUAAUAAUUAAUACAAAAGUAGUACAGUACCUCACAAAUAUUAAGAAAAUAGCAGUCCAAUAAUGAUUAAGAAUGGUUUCACAAUAUCUAUUUAUUCAACACCUUGUCACUGAACAAGAUAAUAGUGGUCCAAUACUUAUUUAGAAUGGUUUCACAAUACCUUUCUUCCUGUAAGAAAAAGCCAUUUUUACCGCAACUCGCGACUUACAUACAGUUAAUUCAUUUUUAAAAUGUAUUACUAAUAUCGACAUGUUGAUAUCAUGUUCGGUGUUUGUGUUUGUGUUUGUGUCCGUGCUUUGUUUUUAUUAGAAUUGUGGCUAUCCUAAUAAACAAGAAUCACUGUUUGGUGUCAAGUUCGUAUUAACUAUUAAGUCAUAAUCAAUUAUUUUCAAAGUUCAUUAUUUUCUGCCCUCCUAUUAUUUAAAAUACUACAACUUCAACCUGGUAUUUAGUGUUUGCUUCGAUUCUCUUUGAAUUGUCUUGCCACUAUUUUAUUGUCGAGUUCCUAAACGUAUGGGAAUGUAAUCAUGGUUUUUAUGUUUUUAGGAGUCAUCUCUUCCUUUUUUUCUCCAUUUUCAAGCCCAAAUAUUUGUUUUUCCUGUGCUUAUGCGCCUCCACCAACCUUCGUGUUUCUGCCCACGCGCCACUGCCAUCUGCCGAGUGUACGGACACAUUCAGUGUCCGUUCGACGAGUUUUUCCGCCUCCUGACUCUGUUUACUGUCCCAAUUUUGUACUUGUCACAAGUUUUCGAGCCCUUAUACCUAUGUUUUUGACUAUGUUUACUCUGUUGUGAUCGUUAAUCUCCUCUUCAUGUUUAUCUUUUGGAUCUUAAUUUGUUACAAGUUUAAAGUUUAGUAAAUUUAUGCUUCCGAAGAAGUGCUAGAAUAUUACAAACUAUCUUAUAAUAUCCUUAAAUCUUUGGUUUUAUAUUAGAGUAUUUUAAGUUAUUUUCUAGGAUUAGUUCUUAGAGUAUCUUAGACAGCUAGCAGCUUGUAAUGACCAUAGUUUAACUAUCUAAAACAGCCAGAAACAAAAUCAAUAUACAAGGUGAAUAAUGUACAUGGAAAUUUCGAUCUGAUGAAUCAUGACAUUACAAUAUCCAAUAUCCAAUAUCCAAUAAAAUUAAAAAACAUAUGUCUUACUGAGAAAGAAGUAUGCAAUAUCAAAUAAAUGGUGCACACUGAGAAGCAUUUUCAUCAAUUUAGGGGACUUGGGAACAAUGUAGAGGGCUAUAAGAAAUUAUAGGGACCGUUUUGUUGAAAAAUGUCACUGGUUCGAAACUCUUGUCUUACAAAACUAGGAGUUUACGGUUUUUUUAGCCCUAUAGUUUACAAUUUAAAUUCGUUUUAAUUUUUUUUUUUGCAUUUUUAUUAGGUGUCCAUUGUUAAUAUUCAAGCAGGACCUCCAAAUAGUCAAAUAGUCGGGGCCGACCCUAAAUGGCACAACAGAAUUUACAAGAAGUGAGUAUACCAUUUCACCAUAUAUUCUAUUGUUUACUAAAAAUGAUUAUACAAUUCAACAACCAAAAUAUCUCUUGGUAGUGUAAUCUAAAUCUGUUGAAAAUGAUUAUCAUCGGCUUUAUAAUGACCAUUGGUUAUUGAUGGGAACCUGAAAUUUAGAAACAUAAUUUAUAAAAUAGAAAUAGAUCAAACAAUGGAAAAUAUAAUAUAUUGAAUAGAUAAUAAACAAGGAAACUAGAGGAAGGAAAUAAUCCCAAUCCCCCCAAACCAAAAGCUCCCUUGAAAAGAAAACACUCUCUUACCACAUUCUUAAUUACAGUACAUCCACAACCCUCACUCGGAGGAAGAGCCACAACUUAGAGAGAUAUACACUAAGGUUUUUUAAGGUUUCCUACACCAACUUUUUCCACUUGAGUGCUAAUUGAGAAAUAGUCUUUGUAGAAGAUCCUUCUUCUUUGGUUGCAUUAGAAGCAGCUUCUUUUAACUCCUUCAUAUUUUUGCGCAAAUUCUCGCCUUCUUCUCCUUCCAUUAGACACUUGAUCACCUUAGCAACCUCUACCCUUUCCACGAUGUCAUUUUCAUUAACUCUUGGCCUCAAUCCCACUUUCAUGCCUUCACUUAAAAAAACCGCAUUCAUUUUCUGCUCAGAAAACAAGGGCCAUGUGAUUAGUGGUACACCAUUCAUCACACUCUCGAGGGUUGAAUUCCAACCACAAUGAGUCAAGAACCCACCAACUGAAUUGUGACUAAGGAUUUCAAUCUGGGGUGCCCAUGAUGGAAUGACCAAACCUUUCUCCUUGGUUNNNNNNNNNNNNNNNNNNNNNCAACAUCAUUUUGUGCCGAAAGAUAUGCAGCAUCACCUGAACUACUUGGUGCUCUUACUACCCAUAAGAACUUAUGAUUACUCAACUCCAAACCCAA
rnacentral:lncRNA from 1 species